GGAUACUCCAGUUCUGCUUCACACAUGGAGUCACUGAUGCCAGGCCAUGCCUCCUCUUUCAUCACAGAUUCUGGCAUUAGAGGAUUCCUCUCCACCCCAAGCUGUGCUCCCAACCUGCGUAGCUUCUUGAACAACCUGCUCAACACUGUAGAAGAGGAAAGACGUCUGCUGUUGCUGGGCAGGACACAUGGAGACUCAGCUCUGGCCAAUCACAGUUGGAUCUUCCCUCCUUGGCCCGCAGCCACCCUGCGUCUCACGUGCUUCUGUCUUGGACCAGCGUGCCAGCCUGAGCAGCCCGGAGUGCCCGGAGCACCCAGAGUGCCCUGCCAGCGUUGUCUAUUCAGGUUUUGACACCAUCUCACCAGAAUCCACUUUAUUUUGGGGGGUGCUGUAAUCCUCUGGCUGGUUUCCGUGAACCUCCAGGGAAAGACCCCCCCAGAAGACCCCCAGCGGCUUCGGAGAGCACUUGCCUGCCUCACCCACACAGCAGGAGGUCGGACUGGGGAGAUCCUGCUAAUUGGAUGGGUUCCUGGCUUUUCUUGGAGGAGUACGAAGCUCUGGUAGCGGUCACACACAGCAGCUCUGGGUGCUCGGCCCCCUUCCCCUCCACCGUCAGCUGUAGCCACGAAGGGUCCCCAGGACCCUAGGAAAACCCCUGGAGCCGACUCUGGAGGGGUGACUGGCGAACAACUCCAGGUGCUUCCAGCCCCAUCAGGUGUGGCCCCCUCUGCCAGCCCAAAUCCCAGGCCCCUGGGACCUUCUUCUCACCAAACCGGCAGACUUUCCUGACAGACCCCAGACUUCAAAGUCCCCAAACCUGGAUUGAGGAAACUAAUGCUAAUGGGGACCAGCACCCCGACGACGACCAUUAAGUAAUCUUCAUGUAGAGAGGGCGGGCAGAGCACACUCCUCUCAGGACAAGGUUCCACGCACAGCACUGAGCAAGUCAAGAGACAAAGAAAAAAAAAUAGGCUUUUUCUCUACAAGGAGGAGGCCGUGUUGUCAGAACCACAGCACAGAGCGAGUGGAGAACAAACGGGGCUCUGGAUUUCAGCCCGACCCAAGCUGCGGGCUGGUGGUGGAGGAUGUGGCAUCAGUGAAACAAUCUGGGUUGACAUCACCAAGAUGGUGGAGUAGACGGUGUGGACCCUCAUCUCUUGCCCCAACAGAAACCCCUAUCUUAGCAACCACUCACAGCUCCCAUCCAGGUCUUGCUCUGCCCCACCACCCAUGUGUAAAUUUUACACGGUUGCAUGAAGGAUUCUAAGGGGAAGAGGAUCCUUAAUUUCCAUUUUCCCAGAGCCUGUAAGCUCCCAAAAGAUGGGAGCCUCCUUGAUGGCGCCUGGCUGUACCAAGCAUAGAUUGCUGAAGACAAUUAAGGAAGAUCAUGAAGAUGCAGAGAGAAUGCUUUCAUAUGUGAUAAUGAUGGAAAUCGGGUCACUGCUCUGGUCACUAGAUGGUGUGGGGACCACGGAAGGGGAGAUCUCGGAGCCCAGGUGAGGAAGCAUUCACUCAGCACUAAAAAGCAGGUGAAAAAGAGAACACAAACUUAUUAAGCAUUUCUUGGAUUGAACUGAAGCAAAAAGGACUUCUGUUAGACAAAUGGUGAAGAAGUAGAUUCAAACUGUAUUCUAACUUCUGUUGUUUGCCAGAAUAGGGGAGGGAGGGCAAUGAAUAAAUGUCCCCGCCCCUUUUUUCUCUUGCUGAUCUCAAUCUUCCCCAUACUGAAUCUAUGAAAAAAAAGGAAGCAAUGAAGGAUCCUAGGCUUGUUUCUCCCAUCUUCAGCACUAAAAGUUCUGAAGAAUUUUAGAUAAAUUGAGAGAUGAUGGCAAAGCCAUAGCUACCUUUUAGUAAAUGCU